CCCAGAUAUAGAACAAGAGAGAGAAAAAAAGGUCCCACUAUGAAAGACAAGAAGGUCACUUUAGUUUUGGGCAGUCAAUUAAAGAGCGUGGAGAAAAACGAAGCGUGCGUAAAUAUUAGACCCCGGACGCCCAUCAUUCUACGGACGUGGAAACCAGGAUGAGCGAGGAAGGAGUAUCAUAUGCUCAAUGCGAUAGUGGCAGCAGACAUACAAGUUCCCCAGAACCACGCAAAAGCUGAACAUUAAACUGAAGGUGGGCUAUGGAAAGCAUCAAUGAAGGACGAGUACGAGUCCCUCGUCGUCCCUUUCAGUCGAACAUGGCCACCCCCUACAUCAAAUGGAUGUUGUCACGGCUUAUCUCAACGGCAAAAACGGUCCUGAGGGAGACCCCUACACAUCAAAAUGAAUAAAAACCCAAACAAAGAGGAAGGAAUCGCCUUCCGGUAAAGUCGGAAAGAACUAUUAUGGAGUACAGAGACAUAUAACGGACCGCGGCAGGACUUAGCUGGACUUAGCCCUGCUGAACGAGGGCGCCCAGCAAACCUUCUGCAGGGGAGCUGCUGGUUCGAUCAGUGACCUCAUGUUAGGAGCUCUUCGCUACUGCGCAAAGUAACUCGGAAAAUAGGAGAAGUAUACACCGGAAGCCAUUACGGAGCCAUAAUGUGCACCAUUCGCGAGCGUUCCAGACCCAGUAGGAAAAACAGUCUGAGCAAGGACUUCAUUGAGUACACGCUAAACGCGAGCGCUCUCGCCAGAAGCCUAACCAGCUAGCGUCGCAUGGAGGAGCCCUGAGAAAUCACCAGUUUUCCUCGUACAGAGCAAUUUGUCUCCUAGACAACGCGGGGAAGGUGUGCGAAAAUCUCAUUGCACAUAGGAUUAAUCGUGCCAUAGAAGAUGCCGGCGGCCUGUCGCCUAACUAGAAGGGUUUCCGGAAAGGGAGAUCGACGAGAUCACAACCAAGAAGCAGAACUGCCUGCUGGUUAUCCUCGACAAAAAUACGUUCAACACGGUAGACUGGGAAGGAAUGAUUGAUGCUCUGCGGAUUCUUAUGAUCCCGAAAUACUUCCUGAGAUCUUCCUGGACAGCGUCCUCAGCGAGAGGGUGCUGCUGUACGAGACGAGCGGGGGCCAAGAUCCUAGAGAGGAACAGCUGGAGUUCCGCAGGUGUCAGUGCUGGGGCCGCAAUUGUGGAACACGAUGUAUAAUGAAGUUCUCCGACUAAACCUGCCCGAGGACACAACGACCGUAGGCUUCGCCGACGACGUGGCCAUCGUAGUUGAAGCCAAGGACCUAGCAGCGGCGGAGGCAGCAGCAUAGCGGGACUACAGGUGACGGAAUACAAGACGGAGGCUGUUUUGAUCAGCAUCAGGAAGAAGGUGGAGACAGCUCAAAUGUCGGUCGGUGAACACGACAUUACAUCACAAAACGCGCUGAAAUACCUAGUGGUUAUGCUGGGCACCAGACAUUCAUUCAGGAAGCACAUGCAGUACGCCGAUACAAAGGCAUCCCAGACGUGCCAAGCACUCUCCCGAAUCCUACUCAAUACCAGGAGACCAACAUAAGCAAGGAGGAAACUAUGCCACAAUAUUAAACUUUUUUUACGCUGUGAACCGAACCGAUUUAUUUAAUCGAUUUGGGGCUUUAAAUUUGUGUAAUAGUUUUUCUAUGAUUUAAUUUUAUUUUAAAUUCUUAGAAUCAGUACAUUUUUGUUCUGUUUACUGUUAAAUUAAGUAUCUUACAUCUGGUUGUAUUGAAAUACUUUGUAGCUUCAGCUUGCCGUCUUGGAAAUAUUAACCUUUCCAAUAAAUCCAUUUCUUGCGUUGUUGUACUUUUGUUGUAAGGUACAUUAAGCGGGCGUCGUUUAAGGAAUCGUUUGUAAAAAUUGAUGGAUAAACCGUUUGACCCAACUUCUGAAUGCCGUAUUUUGCCAUUAAAUUCCGUUACGAUCCUUCCAAAAUGCCAGUUUACCGUUAUAAACAGUUAAAAAUCGAAAAUUGUGGUACAUAUUUCCUGUAAAAAAAGGUAUUUCGAGUAAGGGAGUUUAGCGGCAAAAUGCGGCAUUCAGAGGAUUGGUCAAAUGGCUACACCUUAAACCGAGCUUUCAAAGUCAAUAUUUAGAAAAAAUAGAAUGCAAAAAAUGAUCAAUUAUGAAUUUUAAAGUCUAGUAUUGUCCAGAGGGUAAGCAUUAGCUACAAAGUGAAUUUUUAUACAUACAUAGCUGCAUUUAUCAGCUUUACAGAAUUGCAAAGCAUUAUAACCAGACGUAAAAUGAACUUCAGUAAACAUUAAAGCCUCAAAUCUAUCAGAAAAACUCGGGUUUAUAUAAUUACAUAUAUUUACAAGUACAAGUAUGUACAUAUAAUAUUAUAAAGUUUUUAUAAUCGAUACUAAAAAUUAGUAUAGUAGUAUAUUAGAUUUUUGCUGAAAAUGGAUGUGUGUAACGUCCAGAAGGAAGCGUUUUGGCAUAGCGUCAUAUCUCCGACGACAUAUUUCCCCCGUGUCACAAACGACAUAUCUCCGCGCGGAGCUAUGAUGCUUAGAAGCGACAUAUUUCCGCGCAGCGAUUUUGACCAAAUUAUGCCGAUACACCAACGAAAAAUACA